rnacentral:rRNA from 1 species
GACGAACGCUGGCGGCGUGCCUAAUACAUGCAAGUUGAGCGAUGAAGAUUGGUGCUUGCACCAAUUUGAAGAGCAGCGAACGGGUGAGUAACGCGUGGGGAAUCUGCCUUUGAGCGGGGGACAACAUUUGGAAACGAAUGCUAAUACCGCAUAACAACUUUAAACAUAAGUUUUAAGUUUGAAAGAUGCAAUUGCAUCACUCAAAGAUGAUCCCGCGUUGUAUUAGCUAGUUGGUGAGGUAAAGGCUCACCAAGGCGAUGAUACAUAGCCGACCUGAGAGGGUGAUCGGCCACAUUGGGACUGAGACACGGCCCAAACUCCUACGGGAGGCAGCAGUAGGGAAUCUUCGGCAAGAGACGAAAGUCUGACCGAGCAACGCCGCGUGAGUGAAGAAGGUUGUCGGAUCGUAAAACUCUGUUGGUAGAGAAGAACGUUGGUGAGAGUGGAAAGCUCAUCAAGUGACGGUAACUACCCAGAAAGGGACGGCUAACUACGUG